GGUCUCUUUGCUCCAUAAGUCAUUGCCUGCUCAUUACUUGUAGUGUGAGAGAUGAAAUUUAUUCAAACCUGAUAGCAGGGAUGAAGAAUUGAAAGGCAGGCAGCUGCGAGAAAUGAAAUUAGCUUAUUCUAAUGCUUUUUUGACAGGAUUUUUUUCAUUGCCAUGGGUUACUGUACAUUUGCCUGAAAUGCUCCCCUGCCACAUCCUUAUCUCUAAUUUGGAGAGAUAUGUAUUUGAAGGGUGGACUGUUUGGUGGAUAAGAAAUUGGUUGGAAGGUUGCAGCCAGAAGAAUGUGGUCGCUGAAUCUAUGUCCAGGUGGAGGCUGCUAUGCAAUAGCCAUCAGAAUGGGAAAUUACUGAGGGAGAUUGAAGUGCUCAGAACUGCUGGCUUAUGAUCACUCAAAAUUCAGAAUUGGUAUUGUAUUGCAAUUCCUCAUCAAAAACAUGCAGAAUCAUCUUUCUCGUCAAAAACAUUUCAUUGAGAUAGCAGUCUACUGUGCCUCCCAAAAGGAAAGUGCUGAAGAUGUCACUGAAAAUUAUCACCACUUUCUUCUGCAUCAAGAAAAUAUAACUCACAUACAUCUCCUGGGAAUAUGGAAAUUAUGAAUAUUUGAGUCUAUCAUUUUUCCUUGAGGCCUGCCAAUGAGGCACAGGAGGUUGUUGAACUUGGAGUGAUAAUGUUCUUUCAAAGGCAGCAGCAAGUGGAUGUCAGGUCUCAGUCUUUGGAUACUCCAACUAACAAAAGUUUCUGGUUUAUCUUUCCUGGAUUCCCUUUACAGAAAGGGAGCUAGCUAAGAUUCAUGAUUUGCCAGAGUUGUCACUAGGAGCUCAGCAUGGGGCAGGAUGGAUUUUCUGCAGUCCAAAUCCAUCUUGGAUGCAACAGCAUUGCGUGUUCCUGCAACUGAAAUCACUGGGCAAGAGAUAGGGUCACAAAGAGCAGCAUCAAGUCCUCACUGAGUGAAGUCAGAUCAGUGAUUGAUAGCAUCAACCUGUGGGUCUGGACUUCUGCUUUUGCAUAUCAACUACAGAGCAUUUUCUGUCUUCAUGGAGGGUUCUUGUAAAGGAUUUGGACAGGCUGCUAUUGAAUCAGAUCAGAAUGGGAUAGUGGAGACAGCAGGAGAACAGCCAAGUGAGGCUAUAAAGUGCUUGAUUUGUGCUGCUGUAAAUCUGCUUCUGCACAGGUCUACUGAGGUACACUGGCACUCUGCUCCACAGCUCAUCACAGCAAAUCUUGGUCAUUAUCAGUCUUACUUAGUUCUGAACCAG
ensembl:lncRNA